GGAGAAUUGGCCGAGUGGUCGAAGGCGCACGCUUGGAAAGCGUGUAUACCUCCGGGUAUCGGGAGUUCGAAUCUCCUGUUCUCCGCCA
rnacentral:tRNA from 1 species